UCAAUGAAAAUGCUGUCAAUUAACUAACUUCUUUAAUUAUUAUUGUAUGACAUAAUUCGUAUUACGUUGAUGGGUAGGAUGAUAUGAUGACUUGAGAGAGAGAGAGAGAGAGAGAGAGAGAGAGAGAGAGGAAUGGGGUGAAAUGGUGGCAGUGAGGUGAGACACAUGGGAGUGGGCACUGGAUCACGCCACUCGAUCAGAUGUUAGGUGAUGGUGAUGAUGACCGUGAUGCUGAUGCUGAUGAUGAUGGCGAUGAGGAGGAAGAUGAGGAACACUCUUCUCUCAUCUUUUCUAGCUUCGUUCUAAAAAGAUUGAGGUCGAGGUUUGCCAGAUGUUGCAAGAAACCAUUGUUUGGACGAAUCUCACGCUCUGGAAGAUGAAGGAAUAUUUGCAUUUCAGUCAAUGGUGACCACUCAUUGGGGAUACAAGAGCAGACAGAGCAGAUGAGGCACAGGGAUCAUUUGCCACCCAUCUGGGUGCCAUUUAGGAAAAGUGUCACCAUGACCAGACACUAUCUUGCAAAAAAUGAGGUCACAACACUUCUACCAGCUGUUCCACAGCUCUACUCCUGAUCAUCAUGGUGGGACACCAGAAGCUUACAAGUGAAGAAGGAGCUCAUCUCUUGAAUUGGUCAGAAUAAAUAUUUUCUGUGAUACUUGUGUCUCAAGCUACAAGUGACACAUUCACAGUCAUACAUGGCAUUAAUAAAUCAACAUCUGGUCUCCCUCCACCUACUGAGUGAUGUGUCACCACCACUCAUUACUCACUUGGACUGCUAAACUAUGUCUUAGAUGUACAUAUGUAAUGAUACAUAUAGAUAUUAAUUAAUUGUCAUUAAAGUGAACAAAAGCUGA